GGAAGUUAAGAAACGGUUUUUUAACUUUUAACUAAAAAAAGCUAAGAACCGGUUCUUAAAUAAGGACUUUAAGAACCGGUUCUUAGUUUUUUUAGUUAAAAGUUAAGAAACAAUUUCUUAAUUUCC
rfam:Brassica napus, WGS project CCCW01000000 data, contig: 4597